UACGGAGGGAGCUAGCGUUGUUCGGAAUUACUGGGCGUAAAGCGCACGUAGGCGGCUUUGUAAGUUAGAGGUGAAAGCCCGGGGCUCAACCCCGGAAUUGCCUUUAAGACUGCAUCGCUUGAAUCCAGGAGAGGUGAGUGGAAUUCCGAGUGUAGAGGUGAAAUUCGUAGAUAUUAGGAAGAACACCAGUGGCGAAGGCGGCUCACUGGCCCGGAACGUGACGCUGAUGUGCGAAAGCGUGGGGAGCAACAGG
rnacentral:rRNA from 1 species